UCAGGCCAGCCUCUCUCUCCACCCCACCCCCUCUUUCUGGCGUCCAUCCCCUCCCCAACUCCACCUCUGCUGCUGCCUCUGGCUGUGGACCUGCACCUCUUCCCCAUCCCCGACAGGCCUGGGGAUCGAGACCAGCCCGGCUGUAUCCACGGCAACAGAAGCAGGAAUGUCACUGGCUGCCAGCUCACGGAGGGUCCCACAAUGUGGCCUGGGCUGUGAUUUAUCCUGAGUGAGACAGCUUGAGCCCCCUCCCUCGAUUCCAAGACAGCCCUGCUGAGAGAGCCAAGGUGCAGCCCAGCAGGACAACUGAUGGAGUCCCCCGGGGCCCAUCGAGCACCGGACUGGCUGACCCCAUAGGGUUGGGAGCAGCCCCUGCCCCUCAGU